GUGUGAGUGAGUACACAUUAGAUUCCCCUUUCUCCAGUUGACAACUCACGCGCUUUUCUCUCUCUCUCUAUGGAUUUGUCUGGCACAAUCUCUUUCGCUAAUGAAGCCUAAAUAGGAAUUAGAAUUACAUGUUUCUGAAUCUCUCUUUCUCGGAUACCAAACACUCUCAUUCAAAAGGCGGUGCAAGAAAAAUUACAUAUUCAAGAGAAACCCUAACUAUGGUCUUAGGGUUUCGAAUUUCGAUUUGUAAUUUACUCGAGAGGAAUCUUUGAGAAUUGAUAUUGAAGUAGCAUUAAUAAUAUGGGAGGAGAAGAUAUUAGUCGAGAUAAGGACAAUCCAUGGCAAUCGCCAAACAGACCUUAUCAAGAGAAAGCAGAGUAUAUGAAACUUUGGGGAGUAUUUCUAUUCGGUCUAAUUGGCGCCACUGCUACCACUUUCGCUGUGAGUUUCUAUUUAUCUUCUUCCCUUUUGUUGUUGUUGUUUUUUUUUUUUCUUUUUGAUAAAUGCUCACGCUAGCUUGAACCAGACUGAAUUGGCAGUUCAAAUCAGAUCCUAUUCAAGGUUACAGGAGACCUCAAAUCAGGUCCAGUCCUAGUACCCAUCGGUUUUGAUCCGGUUAAGUUCUAGGAGGUGUUGACCUGUUUUGAUUCUGGUUUUGACCAGGCUGUUUACUGUUCGAUCUUGAUUCCAAACCAGACUGAGCCCACGUCUACUUACCCAUGACGGGUUUGGAUUUUAUACAAUGGGUACUCGUUACUUGAACUCCGUUUAUAUAAAUAAUUAGUUAAAUGUAAAAUAUAUAUGUAUGUGUAUUUUUAUAAUAACAUUUAUAAAUUUUGAGAUAUUAUAUUUUAAAUAAAUAGAAUUUAAAUAAAUUUUAUAGGAUUAUUAAAAGUUUAAAAUAUAAGUUAUUAAUAAAAAUAUAUUUUUAUAUAAAUUAAUAAACGGGUGUGGGUAGUAUUUGAAUAAUAAUAUUUAGGUUUGAGACUGUUACAAAUAGUUUAUGGUGAAUUUAAUUAGGUUCGAUGAGUUCGUGGGUAUCUUAUUUAUUGGUAUGCUUACUUAUAAGCUUGUGAGUCGACUCGUUUAUAGGUUCAUGAGCCAACUCAUUUAAAUAUUAAUAUAUUAAAUUUUGUUUUGUUAUAUGUGUAUAUAUAUUGAUUUUGGUAAUUAAGCUUGAUGAAUCGAGUUUGAGCUUUCAAACUUGACAAAUGAGCUAAAUAUAAGUUGAGUUUCCAAGUUUGAUAAAUGAGCAAAAUGCGAGCAGAGUUUUUAAGCUUGAUAAACAAGUUAAAUGUAAGCCAAGUUUAAGCUAAUCUUAGUAAAAUUUAAAUGAGUCAAGCUGAAGUCUUAAAUUUGAGUUUGAGUCGAGCUCAAAGUUGGUGAAAAAUCUGACGAGUCAAACUUGAGUUAUUCAAUAUUCAACUUGUCUUGGUUCAUUUACAACCCUAAUGUUGCUGAAACAUAUUCUACGCAUCUAAGAGUCGGGUUUGCUUGAUUGUCAAUACCCUUCAAGCUGGAGAUUGGCCUUUUAUUUCUAUAAAAUAUAUGCAAACUAAACUCAGAACUAUACCAUGUGACAUUACAUUGCGCUUUGGAACUUUUUGAGUGUGAUUGAUAUAGGAACCUGCAUAUUUUUGUACUUAUUGAUCAAUAUGUGCAGGUCUGGCAGAUGAGAACGGGACCACGUCUUUUAACAAUUCAG
rnacentral:misc_RNA from 1 species